rnacentral:rRNA from 1 species
CCUACGGGAGACUGCAGUGAGGAAUAUUGGUCAAUGGGCGGGAGCCUGAACCAGCCAAGCCGCGUGAGGGAAGAAGGUACAGCGUAUCGUAAACCUCUUUUGUCAGGGAACAAAGGCGGGGACUAGUCCCCGGAUGAGGGUACCUGAAGAAAAAGCAUCGGCUAACUCCGUGCCAGCAGCCGCGGUAAUACGGAGGAUGCGAGCGUUAUCCGGAUUUAUUGGGUUUAAAGGGUGCGCAGGCGGCCUGUUAAGUCAGCGGUAAAAGCCCGGGGCUCAACCCCGGCUAGCCGUUGAAACUGGCGGGCUUGAGUUGGAGAGAAGUACGCGGAAUGCGCGGUGUAGCGGUGAAAUGCUUAGAUAUCGCGCAGAACCCCGAUUGCGAAGGCAGCGUACCGGCUCCACACUGACGCUGAGGCACGAAAGCGUGGGUAUCGAACAGGAUUAGAUACCCUUGUAGUC